GUGCUCGCUUCAACAGCACAUAUACUAAAAUUGGAACCAUACAGAGAAGAUUAGCAUAGCCCCUGCGCAAGGAUGACACGCAAAUUCAUGAAGCGUUCCAUAUUUUU
ensembl:snRNA U6 U6 spliceosomal RNA